GUGCCCACUGUGGCAGAACAUAUACUAAAAUUGGAACAAUAUAGAGAAGAUUAGCAUGGCCCCUGUGCAAGGAUAACAUGCAAAUUUGUGAGGCAUUCCAUAUUUAG